UACGGAGGAUCCAAGCGUUAUCCGGAUUUAUUGGGUUUAAAGGGUGCGUAGGCGGCCUAUUAAGUCAGGGGUGAAAGACGGUGGCUCAACCAUCGCAGUGCCUUUGAUACUGACGGGCUUGAUUACACUAGAGGUAGGCGGAAUGUGACAAGUAGCGGUGAAAUGCAUAGAUAUGUCACAGAACACCGAUUGCGAAGGCAGCUUACCAUGGUGCCAAUGACGCUGAGGCACGAAAGCGUGGGGAUCAAACAGG
rnacentral:rRNA from 1 species